rnacentral:tRNA from 4 species
CGCGGGGUGGAGAAGAGGUAUCUCAUUAGGCUCAUAACCUAAAGAUCGAGGGUUCGAUUCCCUCCCCCGCAA